GAUGAACGCUGGCGGCGUGCCUAAUACAUGCAAGUCGAGCGAACAGACGAGGAGCUUGCUCCUCUGAUGUUAGCGGCGGACGGGUGAGUAACACGUGGAUAACCUACCUAUAAGACUGGGAUAACUUCGGGAAACCGGAGCUAAUACCGGAUAACAUGUUAAACCGCAUGGUUCAACAGUGAAAGACGGUCUUGCUGUCACUUAUAGAUGGAUCCGCGCCGCAUUAGCUAGUUGGUAAGGUAACGGCUUACCAAGGCAACGAUGCGUAGCCGACCUGAGAGGGUGAUCGGCCACACUGGAACUGAGACACGAUCCAGACUCCUACGGGAGGCAGCAGUAGGGAAUCUUCCGCAAUGGGCGAAAGCCUGACGGAGCAACGCCGCGUGAGUGAAGAAGGUCUUCGGAUCGUAA
rnacentral:rRNA from 1 species